GACAGAGGGUGCAAACGUUGUUCGGAAUUACUGGGCGUAAAGCGAGUGUAGGCGGUUUGGUAAGUCGGAUGUGAAAGCCCCGGGCUCAACCCGGGAAGUGCACUCGAUACUGCCAAGCUAGAGUAUCGGAGAGGUUGGUGGAAUUCUCGGUGUAGAGGUGAAAUUCGUAGAUAUCGAGAGGAACACCGGUGGCGAAGGCGGCCAACUGGACGAAUACGUGACGCUGAGACUCGAAAGCGUGGGGAGCAAACGGG
rnacentral:rRNA from 1 species